GUCUUUUUGAUUUUUAUUAAAAGUUUAACCUGCCCAUUGAAAAUUUUUAAAAGGCUGCAGUAUUUUGACUGUACAAAGGUAGCAUAAUCAUUAGUUUUUUAAUUGAAAACUUGUAUGAAUGGUUGAAUGAGAAAUUAACUUUUUUAAAAAAAUAAUUGAAUUUUACUUUUUAAUUAAAAGGUUAAAAUAAAUUUAAAAGACGAGAAGACCCUAUAGAGUUUUAUAAUUUUUAUUUAAUAUUUUAAAAAGAUAAAUUUAAAUUUUAUAAAAAAAAUUAUUUUGUUGGGGUGAUUAUAAAAUUUAAGAAACUUUUAUUUUUUUUUUACAUUAAUAUAUGAUUUUAUGAACCAUUAUUUAAUGAUUAAAAAUUUAAAUUACCUUAGGGAUAACAGCGUAAUUUUUUUUUCAAGUUCAUAUUAAUAAAAAAUUUUGCGACCUCGAUGUUGGAUUAAGAUUUAAUUUUAGGUGCAGCAGUUUAAAUUUUAAGUCUGUUCGACUUUUAAAUUCUU
rnacentral:rRNA from 1 species